rnacentral:rRNA from 1 species
GACUCUCGGCAACGGAUAUCUCGGCUCUCGCAUCGAUGACGUCUGGUGUGAAUGCGAAUCCCGUGAACCAUCGAGUCUUGAACGCAAGUUGCGCCGAGGCCUCCUGGUCGAGGCACGUCUGCCUGGGUGUCA